AUUGAACGCUGGCGGCAUGCCUUACACAUGCAAGUCGAACGGUAACAGGUUAAGCUGACGAGUGGCGAACGGGUGAGUAAUGUAUCGGAACGUGCCCAGUCGUGGGGGAUAACGUAGCGAAAGCUACGCUAAUACCGCAUACGAUCUACGGAUGAAAGCGGGGGAUCGCAAGACCUCGCGCGAUUGGAGCGGCCGAUAUCAGAGUAGGUUGUUGGGGAGGUAAAAGCUCACCAAGCCUGCGAUCUGUAGCUGGUCUGAGGGGACGACUAGCCACACUGGAACUGAGACACGGUCCAGACUCCUACGGGAGGAAGCAGUGGGGAAUUUUGGACAAUGGACGCAAGUCUGAUCCAGCAAUGCCGCGUGCAGGACGAAGGCCUUCGGGUUGUAAACUGCUUUUGUACGGAACGAAACGGUGAGCUCUAAUACAGUUUGCUAAUGACGGUACCGUAAGAAUAAGCACCGGCUAACUACGUGCCAGCCGCCGCUGUAA
rnacentral:rRNA from 1 species